rnacentral:rRNA from 1 species
AACAAACGCUGGCGGCGUGCCUAAUACAUGCAAGUCGAACGGGGAAAGUAGCAAUACGAGUACUAGUGGCGCACGGGUGAGGAAUACAUGGGUAAUCUGCCCUCGAGCUCGGGAUAACCAGUCGAAAGACUGGCUAAUACCGGAUAUGACCACAAGAUCUGAGGAUCAAGGGGUAAAAGGUUUUUCGCUUGAGGAUGAGCCCAUGUGGGAUUAGCUAGUUGGUGUAGGUAACGGCUCACCAAGGCGACGAUCCCUAACUGGUCUUAGAGGAUGAUCAGUCACACUGGAACUGAGACACGGUCCAGACUCCUACGGGAGGCAGCAGUAGGGAAUAUUGCACAAUGGAGGAAACUCUGAUGCAGCGACGCCGCGUGAGUGAUGAAGGCCUUCGGGUCGUAAAGCUCUGUCGUAUGGGACUAACAAA